rnacentral:lncRNA from 1 species
CUGAAUGGGAACGAAGCUCUGCUAGGUGGCAGCACUGAAAUGACAUGCAAGCCUCUCGAAACCGGUAUGAGAAUUGACUCCUCCUUCCUCUCUGGUUUUCACCUUUACCCUGCGCCGAGGAGGAGCACCCUGCCCAGACUGGACGUAACGUGGGGGCCUGGUUAGUCCCCGGAGAUCCGUACAAAAUACGACCCGGCAGCGCACCGAGCCUGGGGCGUUCGUGCUUUCCACGUGGCCGCAGGAAGGCGCGGCCGGGCGCGUGAAACAGGAAGCGCUUGUGUGCUGGCGCGCGAGGGAAGCCGCGGCAGGACAGGGACAGUCGUUGCCCCGUGGCCCUUGCCAGACUCGGGGAAUGGUUUAAUGGGAGUUUCAUGUCCCCAGUCCUGCCCACAGCGCACAAUGAAGAUCCACACCUGUCCCAGCCGCCUGUGGAGGGUUCGGGAUUGAUUGAGAGUGUGGUCGGGGGGUAGAAAGGUAAGAAAGGUUUUAUUGACUUAACAAAAACACGACUAUGCAUAGUAUACUAAGACAGA